CCCCUCUCAGGAUCACACCCGGAGAGUUUCCAGUACCCUACCAGUCUCAGCUACGGGAGGGACAGUCAAGCAGGGGUAUAUCCAUUCCAUUCCUAGCUUAGGCAGUGGCUAGCGAGUGGAAGGCAGUCUGCUACAAAU